UGGGGGAUAUUGCACAAUGGGCGAAAGCCUGAUGCAGCGACGCCGCGUGGGGGAUGAAGGCUUUCGGGUUGUAAACCUCUUUCGCUAUCGAACAAGGCCCGCUUAGGGUGGGUUGAGGGUAGGUGGAGAAGAAGCGCCGGCUAACUACGUGCCAGCAGCCGCGGUAAUACGUAGGGCGCGAGCGUUGUCCGGAAUUAUUGGGCGUAAAGGGCUUGUAGGCGGCUUGUUGCGCCUGCUGUGAAAACGCGGGGCUUAACUUCGCGCGUGCAGUGGGUACGGGCAGGCUUGAGUGUGGUAGGGGUGACUGGAAUUCCAGGUGUAGCGGAGGAAUGCGCAGAUAUCUGGAGGAACACCGAUGGCGAAGGCAGGUCACUGGACCAUUACUGACGCUGAGGAGCGAAAGCAUGGGUAGCGAACAGG
rnacentral:rRNA from 1 species